UUUCAUAAGCCCGUAGCAGCGUCGAAAACAGGCGGUGGGGUCAGGAUAGGAAACACGUAAGCACGUUCGCACUUCAGCCCUUCUACAGGACACUGCGCAGUUUGGAGCAGAGCGGGCUCGAAGGAAAGAAUAUCUUUGUGAUACAAAAGGCCUGAAAAUGACUGUGCUGCUGUGGAAUUUUGUGGGAAGCCUCUUCUUCGUUUGCGCAUGGAACACAAAGGCUGAAGUGGAAGGGAUGUCAACUCCAACUUCGUCAUUGCAAAGAAUGCGGAGGACGGUGGGCAGCGCUGGCUUCCAUACCCGCCGAUGCAAGUUCGUAGGAGAACGGUGCUUCAAUACAUGGGAGUGCUGUGAAGGGAGAUGUGAGAACUACGAUUGCUUUAAGUGGUACUAAGUGUACGACUAACCACUCGGAGCCUGCGUGGAGGGCCGCUGAUCACGUGACUUGAGAACGCUGGCACGACGGCGGAAUUUCCAGCACACGAAGGAGAGACGACUGACGGCUCGCUUCUUGUGAAACUCCAUUCUUCCUGGGGCCCAAUACGAAUCGGCAACAGUAUGCGCGUUCAAAUAAAUCAAAUUGAUCUCUGAA